GGGAAUCUACCCUGAACUGCGGAAUAGCUCCGGGAAACUGGAAUUAAUACCGCAUGUGCCCUGAGGGGCAAAGAUUUAUCGGUUCAGGAUGAGCCCGCGUCGGAUUAGCUAGUUGGUGGGAUAAUGGCCUACCAAGGCGACGAUCCGUAGCUGGUCUAAGAGGAUGAUCAGCCACAUUGGGACUGAGACACGGCCCAAACUCCUACGGGAGGCAGCAGUGGGGAAUAUUGGACAAUGGGCGCAAGCCUGAUCCAGCCAUGCCGCGUGAGUGAUGAAGGCCCUAGGGUUGUAAAGCUCUUUCAGUGGGGACGAUAAUGACGGUACCCACAGAAGAAGCCCCGGCUAACUUCGUGCCAGCAGCCGCGGUAAUACGAAGGGGGCUAGCGUUGUUCGGAAUUACUGGGCGUAAAGCGCACGUAGGCGGAUAUUUAAGUCAGGGGUGAAAUCCCGGGGCUCAACCCCGGAACUGCCUUUGAUACUGGAUGUCUUGAGUCCGGAAGAGGUGAGUGGAAUUGCGAGU
rnacentral:rRNA from 1 species